UACGUAGGUCCCGAGCGUUGUCCGGAUUUAUUGGGCGUAAGGCGAGCGCAGGUGGUUUAUUAAGUCUGGUGUAAAAGGCAGUGGCUCAACCAUUGUAUGCAUUGGAAACUGGUAGACUUGAGUGCGGGAGAGGAGAGUGGAAUUCCAUGUGUAGCGGUGAAAUGCGUAGAUAUAUGGAGGAACACCGGUGGCGAAAGCGGCUCUCUGGCCUGUAACUGACACUGAGGCUCGAAAGCGUGGGGAGCAAACAGG
rnacentral:rRNA from 1 species